CUUGAGAGGGGGGCGAGGCAAGAAAGGCACUACCAAUCGAAAAGUCGUGAAAAAUCUCCCAUUACAUUCACUAAACGGGUCGCGAAACUAUUUAAGCUACGGUCGUAUGAAUGUUGCCAAAUGUUAAGUCAUAAUCUCUUUCAACUCAUUAAGAUUAGACUGUGACCGGAAUCUCUUCCUUUGGAAAUAACAAUGAUGCGAUCAAUUGAAGAUUUAACACGGCAUUCCCGAGUCAACGCUUCAGGUGUCGAUUACUUGGCGUGUUGCCACCUACCUGCCACCUAGGUACUGAAGUUGUAACAAGGACCUGCCGACGUGCAACAUCAACAACUGCGAUGCCAUAGUCUACAUACCACCUCCUGCUGCAAGCUAGGUUGUCAUAACUUCGUCCAGCUCUUCUCAACGGAAGUCGGAAGCAGUGUGCUGGCCUCAUGGCGAAAAAGUUCGCUCCUCAAACCUGGGCUGAGGAUUAGAUUCCUCACAAAAUCACAGCCAAUGAUAUCCUGGUGACUGCCGUGGCAUGGCGCUGUUAUAUUUGUGAAAGCGGGGUAAAGCCAUAUUCAUUCAUUCUCAGCUUCAUGAUCACGAGAAGCUUGUUGAAACGGGGUGCUUAAUUGUACUUAUCUACCCAAUCUGAGGUUUUCAAAAUCAUUGCGUUUGUACUUCAUUUGGAAGUAAAGAAGACACUAAAGUUUGUUUCUCAGUCGCGAUGAUGUCAGGAACCUUUAUAAUUGUCCUUCUAUGUCUAAUCAAUGUCAGACUCUUACACCUACAAAAGCUUUACCCUUCCAGUGUUUGCCAAAGGUAUACAUAAAUGGAACUGUAACACAUAUAAGCAUAAUAGCUGAUUAGAUAUUUCCACGGAUUUUAAUGAUUUAAAAUGUGUUGCAGAUCACAAUGGAGGUUAGUUUUAUAUUUGAACCCUUGAUGAAGGUUCCCGGCGGAGUGAUGAACCACGUGUACCACUGGACGACGUCACCAAUGUUCCAGCUACGUCGCGUCCGCCUGUAGCUGAAUAGAUCCGGACCAAGCAAACCGGUGACUGAGGAUAUGAGCAAACGUCCACGCCGUCGGCCGCGUUUUGAAAUACAGUUACAUCAAACAACCUUACCAAUCGAUCCCCACUGAAAGGAAAUUGUUGUUUAUUUUUUAGAAAGAAAGAACAAUCGGACUGAAGAAAAGGUUGUUUGAAGUUGCCAGGCUAGGACAUCAUGCAGCACUCACACUUUAUGUAGGUCCAUAUUCUAAUGAACUCAAACAAAGUGAAAAUACAUUGAAUCUUAAUUAAGUUGGUGAAACAAAAUUGAAAUGCCCGCGCGACCGUACACUCAUCGGCGAGUUCCGCCACAUUGCCCUGUGAUGCAAGACAAUAAAGAUGAACGUUUAGACCUUCU